UACGAAGGGGGCUAGCGUUGCUCGGAAUUACUGGGCGUAAAGGGCGCGUAGGCGGCACUGUUAGUCAGGCGUGAAAUUCCUGGGCUCAACCUGGGGACUGCGCUUGAUACGGCAGAGCUAGAGGAUGGAAGAGGCUCGCGGAAUUCCCAGUGUAGAGGUGAAAUUCGUAGAUAUUGGGGAAGAACACCGGUGGCGAAGGGCGGCGAGCUGGUCCAUUCUGACGCUGAGGCGCGACAGCGUGGGGGAGCAAAC
rnacentral:rRNA from 1 species